GAAAUGCGAUAAGUAAUGUGAAUUGCAGAAUUCAGUGAAUCAUCGAAUCUUUGAACGCACAUGGCGCCCGCCAGCACUCUGGCGGGCAUGCCUGUUCGAGCGUCAUUUCAACCCUCAGAACCCCUUGCGGGAUCUGGCGUUGGGGAUUGGCAUCCAGCCAGCCCCGAAAUCUAGUGGCGGUCCCUCCGCGACCUCCCCUGUGCAGUAGCGAUACCUCGCAGCGGGACAGCGGUCUGACCACGCCGUAAAACCCCCAACUUCUCAAGGUUGACCUCGAAUCAGGUAGGAAUACCCGCUGCACUUAAGC
rnacentral:misc_RNA from 1 species